rnacentral:pre_miRNA from 1 species
AUGGGCAAUGCACCCUGAUCAGACCGCUAUGGGAUCUGGGCAGGGCGUUGUUCAAUA